GACGAACGCUGGCGGCGUGCUUAACACAUGCAAGUCGAACGGAAAGGCCCUGCUUUUGUGGGGUGCUCGAGUGGCGAACGGGUGAGUAACACGUGAGUAACCUGCCCUUGACUUUGGGAUAACUUCAGGAAACUGGGGCUAAUACCGGAUAGGAGCUCCUGCUGCAUGGUGGGGGUUGGAAAGUUUCGGCGGUUGGGGAUGGACUCGCGGCUUAUCAGCUUGUUGGUGGGGUAGUGGCUUACCAAGGCUUUGACGGGUAGCCGGCCUGAGAGGGUGACCGGCCACAUUGGGACUGAGAUACGGCACAGACUCCUACGGGAGGCAGCAGUGGGGAAUAUUGCACAAUGGGCGGAAGCCUGAUGCAGCAACGCCGCGUGCGGGAUGACGGCCUUCGGGUUGUAAACCGCUUUCGCCUGUAACGAAGCGUGAGUGACGGUAAUGGGUAAAGAAGCACCGGCUAACUACGUG
rnacentral:rRNA from 1 species